UACGAAGGUGGCAAGCGUUGUUCGGAUUUACUGGGCGUACAGGGAGCGUAGGCGGUUGGAUAAGCCCUCCGUGAAAUCUCCAGGCCUAACCUGGAAAGUGCAGAGGGGACUGUUCAGCUAGAGGAUGGGAGAGGAGCGCGGAAUUCCCGGUGUAGCGGUGAAAUGCGUAGAGAUCGGGAGGAAGGCCGGUGGCGAAGGCGGCGCUCUGGAACAUUUCUGACGCUGAGGCUCGAAAGCGUGGGGAGCAAACAGG
rnacentral:rRNA from 1 species